rnacentral:rRNA from 1 species
GAUGAACGCUGGCGGCGUGCCUAAUACAUGCAAGUCGAGCGGUAAGGCCCUUCGGGGUACACGAGCGGCGGACGGCUGAGUAACACGUAGGAACGUACCCCAAACUGAGGGAUAAGCACCAGAAAUGGUGUCUAAUACCGCAUGUGGCCCACGGGCUAAAGCUCCGGCGGUUUGGGAACGGCCUGCGUCCGAUUAGCUAGUUGGUAGAGUAAUAGCCUACCAAGGCGACGAUCGGUAGCUGGUCUGAGAGGAUGAUCAGCCAGACUGGGACUGAGACACGGCCCAGACUCCUACGGGAGGCAGCAGUAGGGAAUUUUCCACAAUGGGCGAAUGCCUGAUGGAGCAACGCCGCGUGCAGGAUGAAGGCCUUCGGGUUGUAAACUGCUUUUAUAUGUGACGAUUAUGACGGUAGCAUAUGAAUAAGGACCUGCUAACUACGUGCCAGCAGCCGCUGUAA